UACGAAGGUUGCAAGCGUUACUCGGAAUUACUAGGCGUAAAGGGCAGGUAGGUGGUUUGGUAAGUCUAUUGUGAAAGCUCCCGGCUUAACUGGGAGAGGCCAAUGGAUACUACCAAGCUUGAGCAUAGGAGAGGUUACUGGAAUUCCCGGUGUAGCGGUGAAAUGCGCAGAUAUCGGGAGGAACACCAAUGGCGAAAGCAGGUAACUGGACUAUUACUGACACUCAACUGCGAAAGCUAGGGGAGCAAACAGG
rnacentral:rRNA from 1 species